UCAUACGAAAUAAAACUAUUCAUACUAUUAAUUAAUUAACAGUAUAAAAAAGUAGUUAAUCAAAAAAUUUAUCGAUUUAAAUGUCACCUAAUGAAUUUAAAUUUUGAUAAGUAUAUAUUCUGAAAUGAUAGCUAUAGUACAUUUGCAAGCAUAUUUUCUUACUUAACGUAAAAUUAAAUAUUCAAAAUCGGAAUAUCUCAUAUUUAUUAAUUUGAAUAAGAUCAUGUGUUACUUCAAAUUAAACAUAAAGUAUUAUCGUUUAUAUUAACAAAAAGAUUUGUUACGUUAUACGUUCCCAACUAUCAGAAUACCUUACGUUGCUUUUCUCACACCAUGGCCAGCUAUGACUCUCAAUUGCGCAGAGGUUCUCAUGCUAAGCGACAGAGUUAAAGACUGGUUACGAUGAUUUUACACUAGGCGCUAGGCUCGAAAUUCGUCGAUUUUCCUGCAAAAUUAAUUGUUUAUAUUGCCGUGUUCCCAGAAAUUAAUGGAAUAACGCGAUGUCUUCUAUGGAUCUAGGAAAACUCGUGAGGAAGAUACAUGAUAAAAAGCAUUAAGUCAAUUUAAAUCUGUAAGAAUGUAAUUAAAGCAUAAAGAUAAAAAAAUUGCGAUAUUCACGUUUCGUUAUUGUGUAUCGGUAAUUAUCCUAGAAAAACUCGGUUAUCUUAUUAUUAUUAGCUUUAAAUAUGCAAAUUGACUAAAAUGACAGUUUUUCUCGAACUAUCCGUGAGGAUGAUAAGAACGUGCACGGAAAGGAAAAUAAUUUUGAUGAUUAAUCAGAUUAUACCGCUCGAAAUGGUUAAAUUCGAUUCUACGUAAACGGUGCGAAACUGAAUAACCAUCGUAGUGCUACAUAGAAAUCAAUCUCAUCUUUUAAAAAUGAACUUUGUUCAUUCAAAUCAGAUGGAAAUAUUCAUAAACUAUUUUUUUUAUUAUUAUUAUUAGAUCAGAUAAAUUUUGUUGAGAUAUUUAUAAUAGAUAUGUGGGAAUAAGACUUUAUUAUUUCUUGAAUGACAUUCAUUUCUUCUCAGUUAUUGGUUUAUUCUAUUUUUAAAUAGUAUCGUAUCAUUUCUUGUUGUCAAGGUUGCCUCGUUCACUUUCUCCUUCUACAUUUCACAAUAACUAUAUGAAGAGACCGCAAGUAGACGCGCAUUAUUGAAUAUUCAUAAAUAGACGUAAUCAAUCGAGCGACGAGUCAGAUUUCUUUCGACAAUAUUUCGCAACUUUUACAAAAUUUAUUUUCUUGUCUUUUAUUUUGCAUGCUUUCUACUUUUUUAGUUAUAUGACCGUAAUGGGUGCAUUAACAUAAGCUAUAGAAUAGAGGCAGUUUUUCAAACUGUGCUCAGGAUUGUUAUAUUAUUCGUUUUUUAAAUUUUGUUUUUCUAGAAAUCCGGUUAGUAUGACUUUCGAGACGAUGAAGAAUGAUCGGACGUUCGAAUUGAAGAGUUGCUAACGUAAUCAGAAAUUUUUUUAUAAUACAUUCUUGAUGAAUAGAAAAGCAUUCAAUAAGGUAUUAUUGUAUGAGCUUAUUUAUCUGCGCUGUAAGUGAAGGAAGUAUUGAAAUGUCUAAUUUCUUCAUUGAAUCUUGAUACAAUGAAAAAUUUCUUUACAUCGUCAACUUUAAAACGUCAAAAAACGUUGAAUUAUUUUAAGAAAGGAGUGUGAAUAAUUGUAUAAUUAAAACGGAAUAGAAUAACUGACGAAAAAAUUUCCACAAAAAAUUGGGUUAUAUAUAUAGAAUAUUAAAGAAAAUGAAAAGUAAUAAUUCCAUAAAUGAUGAAUGCUUCUUUACCAUUUUAAUUACAAAUAACCGAGAUAAUAAAGAAAAGUAUAAUCUCAGAUUUACCGAAAUAAUUUUAAUUUUUUAGUGAAACUGUAAAUUAGAUAUCAUCACUGAAAAUUUUACCGACCGCAGAUAGAUAAUUUCUGUUUGUAUAUCGUCAGGCAUAUAUUCGACGGAUAUGUUAUCAAGAUUUCAAUUCAAUUACUUUACUAUACUUUACUAAAUGUAGUAUUUUUAGCAACCGUUGUUAGGAUAGACUUCUGUUUUAUCGAUAUCAGGUAAUGCUACUUAUUUAUAUUGUGACGUCAACAGUUGGGUCUUGAAAGGCUGUAGAUUAACCGAAGUGCCUGCAGCCUCCCAAUUACACCAACAUAAUCAGGCGGCUCUUUUUCGAUCAACCCUUUUGGGAUCUUAUACGAGAGCGAGGCUCUUUUUUCCUUUUUUUCCUUCACAAUAGAAAAGUCAAAAUGCGCCGAGAAAGAUUUUCUUUAACUUAGUUAUUCGAUGAAAUGAUGAGAGAGGCUCCGAAUAUCAUUCCUCACGUCUAUAUUUCUUUCGUGGGUUCCUACUACUGACCCUUGAAUUGGUUCCCUCUUGUUAACGAUAUCUGAGGAAAAAUAGGGCGAAGCAAUGCUCGGUAUUCAAAACCCUUUUCUUCUCUUUUACGAAUUGAUUUAUUUGGUAUAAAAUCGGUGAUGGAAAUUUACAAUGUAUAACAAGAUUAUAAGCCUUAAAUAUAUAAUCUGCUAAUUGUAAAGAACUGUGCUUAGCGACUGAGUGCAACGAAGUGAUCUUAACGACUGACUGUAAUAAACUCAUGAUAACGGGUGCGAUGAAUUUAUCUACACGACUGCGGAUGAUAAAGUCCUGGCGAUGAAGUGUUUUCUGCUGCAGGCUCGCUUGCAGCGUUUAGUUGCUAGGCGCGUACUGUGCACGCGCCAUGCGUGCACGCGCCCUCUUGCAUAAGUUGUUUUCGCACGUUUUCUUGUCGUCAAGGACUAUAAGCAAUUACGUUACGCUGUCUCUGCAUGUACUUCCUUGGUCAGUUUUAUUUUUGCACGUGUGGCUCUUGAGCGCGCUCCGUUGCCAAGGAUGAAAGAGCUAUAACGCAUCUGCAUUCCUGCACGUAUUUUUUGUCCUCCCUAUGUCUUCUCGUAUUUCGUUACUACAUGUCUUAUAGAUAAUUCUAAAUUAUUUAUUAACUACAAGCUGCAAAUGAUUAUUCUUAAGGGAAAAAUAGAGGAGAAACAAAUGAAAAAUAGUAUCACUCUACAAGCACACAUAUUCGUGCCUAUAAGGGCUUCUCUUCUUUAAAGUGUCUUUCAUAAUUUCUGGUUGACCUACACACGAAAACGUGACACCUCCCCCCUUAAGUAAAUCGCUCGGAGUUCGCGUGCUCCGGUGACUUAGUACCACGUGCUGCAAUUAUUUUUUCAAGGAUAGGAUAUUUUAUCGAUAUCCUUGCGGUAGGGGUCGGAUUCGCAUCACUUCCUUCUGCUAGCAUUGGUAGUUCACAUUCGACACUUACACUGGUUUCAUUGUCAUUCCUGACCUUGUCUUUGUAGCUCCUUGGUGGUCGUUGUCGUCCCGAGUAUAAAAGCAGAUAUGUCAAUGAACUCCAGAUUGCACCUAGCAGGUGCAAAUUCCAACCAUACACUGAGUGGAGCACGUAUUUUCGGAUAACCGCAUCAACACACAUUUUAAUGCCCUUUAUUACUAUAAAUAGUCCGAUAACACCGCCACUCGCUAUAAUCCAAAUAUUACUGAUAAGAGCGAGGAAUAUGAAACAUUUAAACCUUUUGUGGGCUCCAGACGGCAUGAUGGGUACGAAAAUAAAUUCGCUGACAAAUCCAGAUUGCAAAUUAGCUGAAUUAAUAGAAUGUGGAACGGAUAUAGCUGCACAGAGGAUCUUCAAAUUAUGAUUACAUCCGAACAUAAUUUUUUAUAACACUGCUAUAGAAAAGAAAUAUCAGGCGUAACCAAUGUCAAGGACACUUCUAGACUUUAUUUGAAUUGUCGCACGAAUGGGGAAAAUAUUCGGAGCAAGAUGUCUCCAAUCAAAUCAAUAAGAUGGUUAUAGCUGUAAGUUGUAUUUAUUAUUUAGCUGCAAUAUUUUAUUUAUUAAAGAAAAUUAAAAAAAUCUGUAUAUUGAUUUCAGGGAAGCGAAACUUCAUUAGUUGUACUUUGUACUUUUGAUGCUUGUUACAUUUCCGGAUAUUCAAGUACGUGUAUAAUACAUUUUCUUAAUAAUUUGUCAUUAUACAUCCGAUGUAAAUUAUAUUCAUAUUAACUUCUUAUCAUGUCUUCCAAAUCUUCAAUCACAAAGGACAAAGUAUAUGUAGAAGUAAAUCGAAUUUACUGCUCGGACGAUCCAAAAUGUGUUCCGAUGACAUAUAAUGACAUUAAAAGUAUGAAACUUUUGGAACGUGUAAUCAAGGAAACGUUACGUCUAUUUCCUCCAGGUCCUGUCAUCGCUCGGAAAGUAACGCAAGAUAUAAAAGGUACCUAUGCAUUCAAAAUGAUUUUAUAUAUAUCUUUUCAUUAUUUUACGUUUUAUAUUUCAUUAUUAAUAAUAUGAACGUAUUAUAUAGUACUAAUAUUUAUUUAUUAAUUAUAUAAAGUUACUAAAAAUUGGACUAUACCGAAAGGAUGUUCAGUAGUAUUUUUCAUCUAUAAACUACAUAGAAGCGCAAAAUAUUGGCCACAGCCAUUAGUAUUUGAUCCCGAUAGGUUCCUACCGGGAAAGAAUUGUUCUACA